CGGUGCAUUAAUGCUGGUAUGAUCGCACCCGUUAGAAAGUGGAUUGGAAGAUUACUAAUGCAUCAGUGCGAAUGCGAAGAACGGUUUCAAUAACGUUUAAAAGUGCAAGUGAAAAUGAAAAAAAGAGGAAAAAAAUUUAGAAAACAAAUGAACGGAAAGAAGAUAACUUUGAGGAAUCAAAUCGAAAACCUGAUGGAAAGGAAAAAAAAGAAACUAAAAUUAAAAGGGGACUGCGAGCGAGAAAAAGCAAAAAGUAGUGCAACAGGAGGACUUUCCAAGAGGUCACCCAUCAUAGUACUGCUCUCGCCCAAGCACGCUUAACUGCGGAGUUCUGAUGG
rnacentral:rRNA from 1 species